rnacentral:rRNA from 1 species
GACCUUUAGUUUGAAACCCCGAAACCAGGUGAGCUACCCCGAGACAGCCUAUUGAGGGCCAACCCGUCUCUGUGGCAAAAGAGUGGGAAGAGCUCCGGGUAGAAGUGACAGACCUACCGAACCUGGUGAUAGCUGGUUGCCUAAGAAAUGGAUAGAAGUUCAGCCUCGUACUCCCCAAAUCAAGUAAACACUAGCAAGACAGCAAGAGAAAUACACGAGAGUUAGUUAAAGGGGGUACAGCCCCUUUGACAAAGGAUACAACCUUUCUAGGAGGAUAAAGAUCAUAAUACAUAAAACAUACUGUUCUAGUGGGCCUAAAAGCAGCCACCUAAACAGAAAGCGUUAAAGCUCAGACAGACAGAAGUUUAUUAUCCUGAUAAUAUAUCUCACUCCCCUAAAUACUAUUAGGCCAACCCAUGCCCACAUGGAAGAGAUUAUGCUAAAAUGAGUAACAAGAAGGCCCGCCCUUCUCCAAGCACAAGUGUAAGCCAAAUCGGACUAGCCAUUGGCAACUAACGAACUCAACCCAAGAGAGCAAUGUGGUAUUACAAAAAAACCUAGAAAAACCCACAACCUAAAUAUCGUUACCCCCACACUGGAGUGCAACAAAGGAAAGACUAAAAGAAAAGGAAGGAACUCGGCAAACACAAGCCUCGCCUGUUUACCAAAAACAUCGCCUCCUGCAACACAACCAAGUAUAGGAGGUCCAGCCUGCCCAGUGACUACAAGUUCAACGGCCGCGGUAUUUUGACCGUGCAAAGGUAGCGCAAUCACUUGUCUUUUAAAUAGAGACCUGUAUGAAUGGCUAAACGAGGGCUUAACUGUCUCCCCUUUCCAGUCAGUGAAAUUGAUCUACCCGUGCAGAAGCGGGUAUAAUAAUACAAGACGAGAAGACCCUUUGGAGCUUAAGGUACAAAACUCAACCACGUUAAGCAACUCAAUAAAAAAUGAAAACUUUGUGGAAUAUGAGAUUUUACCUUCGGUUGGGGCGACCACGGAGGAAAAAAAAGCCUCCAGGUGGACCGGGAGAAUUUCCUAAAACUAAGAGAGACAUCUCUAAGCCACAGAACAUCUGACCAAAUAUGAUCCGGCUAAUACAAGCCGAUCAACGAACCAAGUUACCCUAGGGAUAACAGCGCAAUCCUCUCCCAGAGUCCAUAUCGACGAGGGGGUUUACGACCUCGAUGUUGGAUCAGGACAUCCUAAUGGUGCAGCCG